rnacentral:rRNA from 1 species
GAUGAACGCCGGCGGCGUGCCUAAUACAUGCAAGUCGAGCGAACAGACGAGGAGCUUGCUCCUCUGACGUUAGCGGCGGACGGGUGAGUAACACGUGGAUAACCUACCUAUAAGACUGGGAUAACUUCGGGAAACCGGAGCUAAUACCGGAUAAUAUAUUGAACCGCAUGGUUCAAUAGUGAAAGACGGUUUUGCUGUCACUUAUAGAUGGAUCCGCGCCGCAUUAGCUAGUUGGUAAGGUAACGGCUUACCAAGGCAACGAUGCGUAGCCGACCUGAGAGGGUGAUCGGCCACACUGGAACUGAGACACGGUCCAGACUCCUACGGGAGGCAGCAGUAGGGAAUCUUCCGCAAUGGGCGAAAGCCUGACGGAGCAACGCCGCGUGAGUGAUGAAGGUCUUCGGAUCGUAAAACUCUGUUAUUAGGGAAGAACAAAUGUGUAAGUAACUAUGCGCGUCUUGACGGUACCUAAUCAGAAAGCCACGGCUAACUACGUG